AUGAAAUCCUUCUGGUCAUUCCCCUUCUUCCGGGCAUCUCUCAGUUUGGAGUAUCUCCUGGCUCUGAAGAAGGUGGAGCCAUGGGGUGACAUCUGUGAAGUGCAGCUUCAGGAGUCGGGACCCAGCCUGGUGAAGCCGUCACAGACCCUCUCCCUCACCUGCGCCGACUCUGGUUACUCCAUCACCAGUGGUUAUGGUUGGAACUGGAUCCGCCAGGCCCCAGGGAAGGGGCUAGUGUGGAUGGGUUGCAUAAACUAUGAUGGUAACACUUACUACAGCCCCUCCAUCAAGAGCCGCACCUCCAUCUCCAGGGACACGUCCAAGAACCAGUUCUCCCUGCAACUGAGCUCUGUGACCACCGAGGACACGGCCGUGUAUUACUGUGCAAGAGACACAGUGAAACUGGAGAUGUGGGACUCUGAAAUGGUGACUCCAUGGCAGACCCUCACCCUCACCUGUGCUGUCUACGGAUUAUCCAUCUCAACCAGUGGUUAUGCUUGGAACUGGAUCUGCCAGCCUCCAGGGAAGGGGCUAGAGUCGAUGGGGAACAUAUGGUAUGAUGGUAGCAUGGAAUACAGCCCAGCCCUCAAGAGCCGCACCUCCAUCUCCAGAGACAUGUCCAAGAGCCCGUCUUCCCUGCAGCUGAGCUCCAUGACCACCGAGGACACGGGGUUUAUUACUGUGCAAGAGACACAUUGA